UACGUAGGGGGCCAGCGUUGUCCGGACUUACUGGGCGUAAAGCGCACGUAGGCGGAUCUUUAAGUCAGGGGUGAAAUCCCGGAGCUCAACUCCAGAACUGCCUUUGAUACUGAGGGUCUCGAGUCCGGGAGAGGUGAGUGGAACUGCGAGUGUAGAGGUGAAAUUCGUAGAUAUUCGCAAGAACACCAGUGGCGAAGGCGGCUCACUGGCCCGGUACUGACGCUGAGGUGCGAAAGCGUGGGGAGCAAACAGG
rnacentral:rRNA from 1 species